AGAGUGGCGCACGGGUGAGUAACGCGUGGAUAAUCUACCUAUUGGUACGGGACAACAGUUGGAAACGACUGCUAAUACCGUAUACGCUGGAAACGGGAAAGGGGGCCUCUUCUUGAAAGCUCUCGCCAGUAGAUGAGUCCGCGUUUCAUUAGCUAGACGGUGGGGUAACGGCCUACCGUGGCAACGAUGAAUAGCAGGCCUGAGAGGGUGGCCUGCCACACUGGGACUGGAACACGGCCCAG
rnacentral:rRNA from 1 species